ensembl:lncRNA PAQR9-AS1 PAQR9 antisense RNA 1
ACUCCGGAAGUCGGGGGGCUUUAAGCCCGCGUCCGGAUCGGGGCCGUGUCAUUGUCAGCUACCUGGGGAUGCGCCUCUCGCUCCCUCACUGUCUUUGCGUGUGUGUUAGUGUGUGUGUGUGUGUGUGUGUGUGUGUGUCGGCCUGUCUACGCACUACACGAAGGCUUAGUUGGUCUUCUUUCGUCUAGUGGGCGCACUCAGGACUUCUAUUUGGAACUGAGUCCGACAGCUCAGGACUGGCUGCUCAAACUCCACAAUUUAAUGAAAAAUCUCAGAUGAUGACUCAGAAAACCUCUAAUGAUCUGAGGAAUAUAUUAAGGGAUUCCAGAGUCAAAGGCUGAUCAUGGAGGGCAUUGAUGAGGGAAGACUUCAGGUGGCUGGAGACCAGAAGAAAGGAACACUGGAAGAAUGAAAACGGUUGUGAUGCACUGCAGUGUG